GUGCUUGCUUCAGCAGCACAUGUACUAAAAAUUGGAAUAAUACAGAGAUUAACAUGGUCCCUCUGCAAAGAUGAUAUGCAAAUUCUUGAAGCAUUCCAUAUUUUA